GCCCCAGUAGCUCAGCGGUCAGAGCGACUGCCUCGUAAGCAGUAGGCCCUGGGUCCGAAUCCCAGCUGGGGCUCCA
rnacentral:tRNA from 1 species